GAAUGGCCUGGAAAGAGUCUCAAGGGCAACAGUCAGCUCCCAGGCCUGAGGUUCUCUAACCUGGAUUACACCAUUAUGAAGGCACUGCUCUCCAGCUCAUCAUUAGUUAAGACACUGCUGUGGAUACCUUUUUGUUCCAUCAGGCUUUCUAUGAGGGAAUAUUGUAGCCUUGUAGAUGACGACGAAGAAAAAUAGCUGGGGGUGAUGUGGAUACUGAUGUUCAAGUAACCUCUAAAGCUAGACAUCAAGUGAGGGUGGGGGCA